GACGUAGGGGGCGAACGUUAUCCGGAAUUAUUGGGCGUAAAGGGUGCGUAGGCGGCAUGAUAAGUUAUUGGCGGCAAAUCGAGGCUCAACCUCGUGGAAACUGAUAAUACUGUCUUGCUUGAGUGCAGAAGAGGUUAACGGAACUCCAUGUGGAGCGGUAAAAUGUGUAGAUAUAUGGAAGAACAUCAAUAACGGCGAAGGCAGUUAACUAGUCUGUUACUGACGUUGAGGCACGAAAGCGUGGGGAGCAAAACGG
rnacentral:rRNA from 1 species